CCUGGUUUCAGUUAGAAGGACGAAAAAAGGCUGCUGCAUUUUCAGCAGGGCUGAAAAACCUAAUUUCCCUCCCCAAGCCCCGCUGGGUAUCUUCUUCUGCCCCCUCGCAGACGUGCUGGGCUGCAUGCAUGUGCGCUGCCUCUGCCCAGUGCUGCCGCUGCUGACAUGUAGAGAGAGAUGCAGAGCCUGGGCUGGUGCAGGGCGCGGAGGGAAGGGACUGAAGCAACACCAGCAAAUGUGAGUCCCCUGUUACAAGGUUUGGCAGCAGCAGCAUAUCUCAGUUCCCAGAUUUGCUUAACUGAAUUUAUCCAGGCAAUCCAGUGAAGAGAUCUGGCAGAUUCCUGCCAAUCUAUAUUUCUUCAGACUAUGAGGUCUCCAGCUGCUUCUAGCCUGUCAGAGCUCUCCGGCUGAUUGAUUCCCCACAGGACAGUCCAUCAAUGGAGGAUACAAAGUGGAAGAAAACUGACUUAAAAAAGAAAGAGUGGAAAGUGGAAGACUUGUCUGUCCAAAAUGAAUGUUCGGGCCUGCUUCUCUAAAUGGCAAGUGUUAGUAUUCGGAGGUGACGACUGCUGUCUUAGUCUUACUUUUUCUUCCCUCUGUAAGAUUUUGCUUCGAUAUUUUAGCAGUGUUGGUGGAUCUUAAACCAGAAUAUUUGGGGCCUUUGUGUAGGUUUAAACCAGAACUUGUGUGAGGGUUUGGCAUCUGGUAGAAGGAUCAGAGUACUCCUUCCCAAAUUGGUUUGUUGUCUUGUAUGUAACUGCACAGGUAAAAUGUUUGUCUCUACAGACAGA